CAGUCGCCGCGGUAAUACGUAGGGUGCGAGCGUUAAUCGGAUUUACUGGGCGUAAAGCGUGCGCAGGCGGCCCGUUAAGACAGGUGUGAAAUCCCUGGGCUCAACCUAGGAAUUGCGCUUGUGACUGGCGGGCUCGAGUACGGUAGAGGGGGGUGGAAUUCCUGAUGUAGCAGUGAAAUACGUAGAGAUCAGGAGGAACACCGAUGGCGAAGGCAGCCCCCUGGGCCUGUACUGACGCUCAUGCACGAAAGCGUGAGGAGCAAACAGGAUUAGAUACCCCUGUAGUCCCUGUCUCUUAUAC
rnacentral:rRNA from 1 species